rnacentral:misc_RNA from 1 species
AACGCAACUUGCGCCUGUUUACAGGCGUGUCUGUUUGAGUACGGCAUACUCAAUGCAUUAAUGCGAUUUGGUCAUAGAGCUGUGUCAGUUCUCUGGCUGGAAUGAAGUCAGUAAGGGGAUUAAAGGGUCUCUUGAUGUGUUAGAGACGCAAGUCUUGACAUCAAUUAGCUACUUGGUCCUAUUAAAUACUUUGGUUUCGUCUCAAAUCAGACAAGAUUACCCGCUGAACUUAA